UACAGAGGGGGCAAGCGUUAUUCGGAAUUGUUGGGCGUAAAGGGCGCGUAGGCGGCCUGGCAAGUGGAAGGUGAAAUCCCUCGGCUUAACCGAGGAACUGCCCUCCAAACUGCUUGGCUUGAGUCCGGGAGAGGUGAGUGGAAUUCCCCAGUGUAGCGGUGAAAUGCGUAGAUAUUGGGAGGAACACCAGUGGCGAAGGCGGCUCACUGGACCGGAACUGACGCUGAGGCGCGAAAGCGUGGGGAGCAAACGGG
rnacentral:rRNA from 1 species